GGGCCCGGGGGGCCCGGAGCAGUUUCCAGUGGCCAGGGGUACGCGCGGCCGGAGGGGCGCCGGGGCCGUACUCACCGCGGCCGUUCUGGUUGGGCCGGUACACGCUGCCCACGCUGAGGCGGCCCUGCUGCGCGCCGUUCCGCUCCCCACCCGGCGGGGGCGUGUCGGAGCUGCGCACCGGCAGGAGCUCCUGCCUGCCUGGAUGAAGAGGAGGUCAAGACUUUGUCCCCCACUCCGCAAGAUACCCUCUCUGUUCCGGAGCGGUGAGACAGGAUUUCACCAUGUUAGCCAGGAUGGUCUUGAUCUCCUGACCUCAUGAUCUGCCCACCUCGGCCUCCCAAAGUGCUGGGCUUACAGGCGUGAGCCACCGUGCCCGGCCAAAAAUAACUUUUAAAAACAUGAGUAUAGCAUACACACACACAAAAGUCCACAAAUCCUAGGUGUACCACUUGAUGAAUGAUCCCAACGUGAGCACACCUCUGGAUUACCACCUGGAUCAAGAAAUAGGACAUCACAGCAGCUGGCAGCUUCCAAGGAGAAGCUCUGGAAAGUUCUGCCUGUCUCAGCACCUGGCUGGAUCGGAAACGAGUUUUCUUUAACCAGAUUUUUAAUGACUGACUUAUGUGGACAAAUCAUAACUGAAUGAAUCACCUCCUUUGUUGAUUUUUUUGGGUACUUUAUUUGCUAUUAUAAAUGAUGCUGUAAUAAGCACCCUUGAAGAAAUCUUCAUAUCUGCCUCUCCUGUGUAGCAGGUCACAGUGCCUGGGUUUGGUUCUAGCCCUCAUUUGUGAACUGUGUGACUCACCAUGCCUUUUUUCUUUCUGUAAGACAGGAAUAAUGGUAAGAAUUUAAAUGGGGGUAAUAUGGAGCGCGUUUAGUUCAGAGCCUGGUGCAUACAAGCACUCAAUAAGUACUGGCGAUUAUUAGACCUUUAGAUUAAUUUAUUAGAAGUUGGAUUUCUGGUGAAAGGGUUUGAGUGUUUUUGAGGCUUUGGCACAGAAUACCCAGCUGGUCCCAGAAAGGUGGUUCCCAUUUACCUGCCCGAAGGUAAUUCACCCUUACUGAUACUGAGUACUGUUUUCUAAAAGAACAUUAAAAAUUGGAUAGGUUAAAAACAGGUGAAUACAUUUUUUUAGUUGCAUUUUUUUGGUUACCCGUGAGAGUGAACAUGUUGCCAUGUGUUUGCUGACCUCCUAAAUGGUCUAUUUGCUCCUACCUUUGUACCCCAAAAGUCUGCUCUCAAGAUGGUAGCCAGAAUGAUCCUUUUUGAGACAUAAGUCAAAAUUUCACUCUUCUCCUUAAAGCUCUGCAAUGGUUCUCAGGUUAAAAGCCAAAGUCCUGUUCAAGGCCUCCAGGGUCCUCACCACUUGGUCCCUUGCUCUUUCUGUUCUAGCCAACUUGGCCUUCUCCUGCCCCUCCGCCGCACCAUGGCAAUUUCCCCUGCUCUGUGUGGUCAACUACCUGAAUCUGUUCAAAGCUUUGCUCAAAUGUCUCCUUCCUGAUGAGACCUCCCCAGCCCCUGAGCUCCCCAUGCCUCACUCCUGAUCGCCUUACUUAACCCUUCUUUUUCUUUUUUGCCAGUAGUACUUAUCACCGUCUAAAAUACUUCAUAAUUUACUUGUUUAUUGUUUGCCCCUCUCCAAUAGAAUGUAAGCUCCUUGGGGCAGGGACCUUUGUCCUUUGUCUUGUUCACUGCUGUGUCCCAUGUGUAAACUUGUCUGGCACAGAAGAGGUGCUCGAUAAAUAUUUGUUGAGUGAAUGAAUGGUAAAUUUUCUGUUCAUAUUCUUUGACUAUUUUCUAUUGUAAUGUUCAUCUUUUUAGUAUUGGUUUAUAAGAUGUAUAUUUAGCACCUUUUCAUAUAUCACUCUUUGUCACAUAUUAUGCAACUAAUUUGUCAUUUCCAUCAAUUUUUAAAAUACUUUCUUGAUGCUUCAUUUUUAAGCUGUCAGAUUAUUAAUCUUUUCUUUAUGGUCUUGGACUUUAUUGUUGCAUAACCGCUGCCUUCACCAGGAACAUAUAAAUUUUCAAUUAAAUGUUCUUCUGAGAUUUUAUGAUUUCACUUUUUAUAUUAAACUCUUCAUUUUGUCUUCAUGUGUGGUGAGAGGUAAGAACAUAACUUUAAAGCAAAUUAACCAACUAUCCCCAAAUGAAUUAUAAAUAAAUUAAUCAUUUUCCAAUAAAAAAAAAAAAAAA
rnacentral:lncRNA from 1 species